rnacentral:rRNA from 1 species
CGGUUUGUCGCGUCUGCCGUGAAAGUCCGGGGCUCAACUCCGGAUCUGCGGUGGGUACGGGCAGACUAGAGUGAUGUAGGGGAGACUGGAAUUCCUGGUGUAGCGGUGAAAUGCGCAGAUAUCAGGAGGAACACCGAUGGCGAAGGCAGGUCUCUGGGCAUUAACUGACGCUGAGGAGCGAAAGCAUGGGGAGCGAACAGGAUUAGAUACCCUGGUAGUCCAUGCCGUAAACGUUGGGCACUAGGUGUGGGGGACAUUCCACGUUUUCCGCGCCGUAGCUAACGCAUUAAGUGCCCCGCCUGGGGAGUACGGCCGCAAGGCUAAAACUCAAAGGAAUUGACGGGGGCCCGCACAAGCGGCGGAGCAUGCGGAUUAAUUCGAUGCAACGCGAAGAACCUUACCAAGGCUUGACAUGGGCCGGAUCGCCGCAGAGAUGUGGUUUCCCUUCGGGGCCGGUUCACAGGUGGUGCAUGGUUGUCGUCAGCUCGUGUCGUGAGAUGUUGGGUUAAGUCCCGCAACGAGCGCAACCCUCGUUCCAUGUUGCCAGCGGGUUAUGCCGGGGACUCAUGGGAGACUGCCGGGGUCAACUCGGAGGAAGGUGGGGACGACGUCAAAUCAUCAUGCCCCUUAUGUCUUGGGCUUCACGCAUGCUACAAUGGCCGGUACAAAGGGUUGCGAUACUGUGAGGUGGAGCUAAUCCCAAAAAGCCGGUCUCAGUUCGGAUUGAGGUCUGCAACUCGACCUCAUGAAGUCGGAGUCGCUAGUAAUCG